UGGGGAAUAUUGGACAAUGGGGGAAACCCUGAUCCAGCGAUGCCGCGUGAGUGAUGAAGGCCUUCGGGUUGUAAAACUCUUUCACUGAUGAAGAUGAUGACGGUAGUCAGAGAAGAAGCUCCGGCUAACUUCGUG
rnacentral:rRNA from 1 species